GUAGUAGUCGUUGAUGGUGGUGGUAAGGUCACCAGUGCCGGGCGGCACAAUAACGAGUCCGUAAUUGGAUGGACAGUUUAUUUCCAAUCACAGACGGUAUAACAAUAUUAAGAAGGAGAAAUUACGGAGUACAGAAGGCACAGAUAAAGCGGUAGCAAGUUCAAACACAAUAAUACAAAAUAGGUGAAAGCAAUAAAUCGUAACGAAGCAAAAGAGUACGCGUAAGUCGAGGAGUGACACAGUCUUAGCGUAGCGUUGAUCAAACCCGACUGGCCGCGAGCGGCGGCCGAGUCGUGGCGCAGGCGACGACCAGCCGUGCGAUUCUCUAAAAUUCAAACAAGAACUCGCAUCUCACUACGAAAUUCUCCAUCACUUCGCAUUCGCAAUGGAAUGACCUUGAUUUGGCAUUCUGUAAACACUAAUCUUAAUUACCCUGCCUCGAGCGAAGUGAAGUGACAACGAAGUUUGUUUACAAUACUACUAGGGAUAGCCGUAUACACGCAAAUGUAAAUCGAAGCUUACCGGUUUCAGUUUUUCUUUGUAUUAAGAAGCAUUCUGUAAGAAAAUACUAUGAAUUUAAGCUUUGGUGUCUAAACCACAUCUAAUAUAUCUAAAAAGAAAAUUAAAAGUCAUAUAUUUAUGAAAUUAAUUGUAAUUUCUGGCUGUACGCUAAGUUCCUUUGCGUGCACUGGUGAAUACCAGAAUUAAAAAACAAUUUUAAUUGUUUUCAAAACAAUUUCGAGCGGUCGGAAGUUUUUAUUUUGCUUUUUCUAGAUUUGUUGUUACUUUGUGAGUGAAUUUAACGUUAAAUAAAAAUUAUGAGAUUUAAAGAGCGUUCUUCUCAUCCGACAUUGGCGCAAAUAGAGGCAUUGAUAAACGUUUUGGGUUAAAAGCUAGCGAAACAAAAGGAUUAAUCGAAUCUCAACAUGUUCAAUAAGAGAACAAGGAUAUUAAUAAAAUAUAGGAACUAAAUUCUCUUGUCAGUUAAGAUCCAUUCCCGGAACUACAACAGAUUGAAAAUACUAAUCCACAUCAUCAGAAUAUUGUAAGGAGAAUUUAUAGCCAACUCGGAAAAUGUAUCAGUAUUGGAACAAUCGCAAACAUACAGCACCUCAACACCUGACCUGCUAUUUCACCACUUUUACAAUGAAAAGCAGAGUGUACUCAAAUUACUGAGAGAAUUUUGUGGAUAGAGGAACUGCAGGUGAAGAUUCAGGGUGUUCAUAUGUGUGUCGUCCAAAGCAUUUUUGAACACAGUACCAUAUAUAAAUUAAUGAAACUUACAACCAUGGGGAAUGAAUAGUCAACAAUCUGCAAGAAGGAUGAACUGUUGGUGGAAUUAGCACAUGCAGCUAGCAAUUUUAAACCUGUAUUUCCACAUAAGUUACUGAUGCAAACAAAUUUCAAAAUUAUUGUAUAUAACUAUUGAAUAAAAUUAUAAUAAAACUAUUUUUAUAAAUCAUUAA